AUUGAACGCUGGCGGCAUGCCUUACACAUGCAAGUCGAACGGCAGCAUGAUCUAGCUUGCUCGAUUGAUGGCGAGUGGCGAACGGGUGAGUAAUACAUCGGAACGUGCCCUGUAGUGGGGGAUAACUAGUCGAAAGAUUAGCUGAUACCGCAUACGACCUGAGGGUGAAAGUGGGGGACCGCAAGGCCUCAUGCUAUAGGAGCGGCCGAUGUCUGAUUAGCUAGUUGGUGAGGUAAAGGCUCACCAAGGCGACGAUCAGUAGCUGGUCUGAGAGGACGAUCAGCCACACUGGGACUGAGACACGGCCCAGACUCCUACGGGAGGCAGCAGUGGGGAAUUUUGGACAAUGGGCGAAAGCCUGAUCCAGCAAUGCCGCGUGUGUGAAGAAGGCCUUCGGGUUGUAAAGCACUUUUGUCCGGAAAGAAAUGGCUCUGGUUAAUACCUGGGGUCGAUGACGGUACCGGAAGAAUAAGGACCGGCUAACUACGUG
rnacentral:rRNA from 1 species